GGAAAAUAUGAGCAACAAUAUGAACAGUCAGAAGAGUUCCAGCAAGAACUAAAAAUCAAGGUUCGAGAUAUAUUAACAGAACAAGAAUGGUGAAGGCAUAAAAUGCCAAUGAGGAUUUCAGAAGAGGAAGGUAGAUUGAAAAAAGGUGAAGAAGAAACCAAAGAGAUGUUGAAAAGGAAACGGGAGCAUGAGGAACAGUGGGAAAGAACAAGAGAAUAGAGGGUUUCAAGCUGGAGGGAUUUUACGACGGGUGGAAAGAAGGCCAAGAAAGUAGAAAUUCGACCUCCGAAGCUUAAAACUGAAGACCCUAACAAAUCUUAUGUUCAAAGGCCAGUAAAAUGAGGUUGAUUUUGUUUUGCCCUGAGGAUCGUCAUAGGUUGCUGCAGUGGUUAACCAUUCUUUCCGGGGAUCAGAAAGGCCGAAAGUGGUGGAUGUAGGAUGAGAUCCGUAUGAAUCUUUGAAUUAUUUGUAAACAGGAGUAUCAUUGUGUCAAUUUGAGGUAUGAUUAAUAUAAUGUUGUAAUACCUUGUAUAGUAUAAAUAUAAUCUGGUCAGUAAUUCUGGACCUUGAUUAGGUUCCGUUUAGGUUAUCUCUCAGCGUGAACUCGUGCUGAUGUGUUUACAACUUCCAACAGAGAAAUGAACAACAUGAU
rnacentral:sRNA from 1 species